rfam:Verticillium longisporum isolate VL1 genome assembly, contig: scaffold_2
GGACUGGUAGCUCAGGGGUAGAGCGUGCGAUUGCAGAUCGCAAUGUCAGUGGUUCGAAUCCGCUUCAGUCCU